AAUGCUGGUCUUGGUAGUCAUCGCCCGGGAAAAUUCAAAAUUCAAAAUGGCCACUAUCGAAAUUUUCCCGGACGAUGACUACUAAGACCAGCAUU